AAUGUUUGAUAAUUGCUAUUAUAAAUCGUUAUUAUUUGAAUAUCGAGUUCAUUGACGUGURCAGGACUUAGUGGUGGGUGUAAAAAAAUUAGCCCCACAUGAAAAAAGGGAUCUGCACGCCACUGAUUUUAAAUAUAAUAAUUCUUAGUCAUCAUUCAUCAAAUUAUCAAAACAUCACUAAAAUUAUGGCGUGGUCCAUGUUCAUUAGUAAAAAUACAAUCUAUUAUUCCAAGAGUUUUGAACGUGGUAAUAUCGUCACCUAAUCAAAAAUUGUGAUUGUGAUUUUUAAAUUUAUAA